AACCAUAGAAACCUGCGGAGUACCUGCGGAAGGAUCAUUACAGAGUUGCAAAACUCCCUAAACCAUUGUGAACGUUACCUAAACCGUUGCUUCGGCGGGCGGCCCGGGUCCUUCCCGGCGCCCAUCGGCCCUCGCGGGCGCCCGCCGGAGGUAAACCAAACUAUUGCAUUGUAUGGCCUCUCUGAGUCUUCUGUACUGAAUAAGCCAAAACUUUCAGCAACGGAUCUCAGAUCGGAAGAG
rnacentral:misc_RNA from 1 species